CCUACGGGAGGCAGCAGUGGGGGAUAUUGCACAAUGGGGGGAACCCUGAUGCAGCGACGCCGCGUGGGUGAAGGAGUGCUUCGGCAUGUAAAGCCCUAUCGGCAGGGAAGAAGCAAGACGGUACCUGACUAAGAAGCCCCGGCUAACUAAGUGCCAGCAGCCGCGGUAAUACGUAGGGGGCGAGCGUUAUCCGGAUUCACUGGGUGUAAAGGGAGCGUAGACGGCCAUGCAAGCCAGGGGUGGAAGCCCGGGGCCCAACGCCGGGACUGCCCUUGGAACUGUGCGGCUAGAGUGCGGGAGGGGCAGGCGGAAUGCCUGGUGUAGCGGUGAAAUGCGUAGAUAUCAGGAGGAACACCGGCGGCGAAGGCGGCCUGCUGGACCGCGACUGACGUUGAGGCUCGAAAGCGUGGGGAGCGAACAGGAUUAGAUACCCCUGUAGUC
rnacentral:rRNA from 1 species